rnacentral:rRNA from 1 species
AUGAACGCUAGCUACAGGCUUAACACAUGCAAGUCGAGGGGCAGCAUGGUCUUAGCUUGCUAAGGCCGAUGGCGACCGGCGCACGGGUGAGUAACACGUAUCCAACCUGCCGUCUACUCUUGGACAGCCUUCUGAAAGGAAGAUUAAUACAAGAUGGCAUCAUGAGUCCGCAUGUUCACAUGAUUAAAGGUAUUCCGGUAGACGAUGGGGAUGCGUUCCAUUAGAUAGUAGGCGGGGUAACGGCCCACCUAGUCUUCGAUGGAUAGGGGUUCUGAGAGGAAGGUCCCCCACAUUGGAACUGAGACACGGUCCAAACUCCUACGGGAGGCAGCAGUGAGGAAUAUUGGUCAAUGGGCGAGAGCCUGAACCAGCCAAGUAGCGUGAAGGAUGACUGCCCUAUGGGUUGUAAACUUCUUUUAUAAAGGAAUAAAGUCGGGUAUGGAUACCCGUUUGCAUGUACUUUAUGAAUAAGGAUCGGCUAACUCCGUGCCAGCAGCCGCGGUAAUACGGAGGAUCCGAGCGUUAUCCGGAUUUAUUGGGUUUAAAGGGAGCGUAGAUGGAUAUUUAAGUCAGUUGUGAAAGUUUGCGGCUCAACCGUAAAAUUGCAGUUGAUACUGGAUAUCUUGAGUGCAGUUGAGGCAGGCGGAAUUCGUGGUGUAGCGGUGAAAUGCUUAGAUAUCACGAAGAACUCCGAUUGCGAAGGCAGCCUGCUAAGCUGCAACUGACAUUGAGGCUCGAAAGUGUGGGUAUCAAACAGGAUUAGAUACCCUGGUAGUCCACACGGUAAACGAUGAAUACUCGCUGUUUGCGAUAUACUGCAAGCGGCCAAGCGAAAGCGUUAAGUAUUCCACCUGGGGAGUACGCCGGCAACGGUGAAACUCAAAGGAAUUGACGGGGGCCCGCACAAGCAGCGGAGCAUGUGGUUUAAUUCGACGCAACGCGAAGAACCUUACCAGGGCUUGACAUAUAGAGGAAUAUAUAAGAGAUUAUAUAGCUCUUCGGAGUCUCUAUACAGGUGGUGCAUGGUUGUCGUCAGCUCGUGUCGUGAGAUGUUGGGUUAAGUCCCGCAACGAGCGCAACCCCUGUUCUUAGUUGCCAGCGAGUAAUGUCGGGAACUCUAAGAAGACUGCCGGUGACAAAUCGGAGGAAGGUGGGGAUGACGUCAAAUCAUCAUGCCCCUUAUGACCUGGGCUACACACGUGUUACAAUGGGGGGUACAGAGGGCCGCUACCACGCGAGUGGAUGCCAAUCCCCAAAACCUCUCUCAGUUCGGACUGGAGUCUGCAACCCGACUCCACGAAGCUGGAUUCGCUAGUAAUCGCGCAUCAGCCACGGCGCGGUGAAUACGUUCCCGGGCCUUGUACACACCGCCCGUCAAGCCAUGGGAGCCGGGGGUACCUGAAGUGCGUAACCGCGAGGAGCGCCCUAGGGUAAAACUGGUGACUGGGGCU